rnacentral:rRNA from 3 species
UACGGAGGGUGCAAGCGUUAUCCGGAUUCACUGGGUUUAAAGGGUGCGUAGGUGGGUUGGUAAGUCAGUGGUGAAAUCUCCGGGCUUAACUCGGAAACUGCCGUUGAUACUAUCAAUCUUGAAUCUCGUGGAGGUAAGCGGAAUAUGUCAUGUAGCGGUGAAAUGCUUAGAUAUGACAUAGAACACCGAUAGCGAAGGCAGCUUGCUACACGAGUAUUGACACUGAGGCACGAAAGCGUGGGGAUCAAACAGG